GGGCUGGGGCUCAGUGGUAGAGUGCUCGCCUAACAGGUGUGAGGCACUGGGUUCGAUCCUCAGCACCACA
rnacentral:tRNA from 1 species